CAGUGGUGAGGUGAACACGUAGGGGACAUGAUCGUGUGUUCCUGUACAAGCCAUGGCCUGCCAAGACCCGUAACACGUAAGGACCUGCUUCAGGGUGCCGGUGUGAAGCCGCAGGGAAAGGUGGAGCGAGGAAACUCAACACUUCUGGCCCUCCCUGGUGGCGGUGGCGGCGGGCAAGACCAAGCCCAAGAGUUCCCUUCACAAGCCUGGCCUUAGGAACAUUGCCAUGGUGUGUGGGGUGACCUACCUCAUGUCCCGGGAUGACCUGACACAGCAGACACUUUAGUGUGUGUUUAUGCUGGGACCAAGAAGAAGAAGAAGAAGAGGAGGAGGAGGAGAAGGAAGAUGAUGAUAGAGGCAACAUGAAGAAAAGAAGAGGAGGAGGAGGAGGAGGAGAAAGAAUGGAAGAACUUCAGCAAGGAGGAGGAAGAAGAACACACACACAGGUACGUAAGACAAACAUCUAUUUUUUUUAUAUUAUGCAUUUUUAUUAGUCCAUAUAACAUUCAUUAUAUAUACAAUACAUACAAUCCUAUUAUACAACAUAUGCAUAAUUCUAUAUAUUAGAUCAUAGAGUGAGAGACUAGACUUGACAGGUGAGAAAUAGAGGUCCCCCCUCC